rnacentral:rRNA from 1 species
UACAGAGGUCUCGAGCGUUGUUCGGAUUCAUUGGGCGUAAAGGGCGCGUAGGCGGCCACCGCAAGUCGAUUGUGAAAUCUCCGGGCUUAACCCGGAAAGGUCAACCGAUACUGCGGGGCUAGAGUGCAGAAGGGGCAACUGGAAUUCUCGGUGUAGCGGUGAAAUGCGUAGAUAUCGAGAGGAACACCUGCGGCGAAGGCGGGUUGCUGGGCUGACACUGACGCUGAUGCGCGAAAGCUAGGGGAGCGAACGGG